rnacentral:misc_RNA from 1 species
AGACGAUUUUCAAGCUCUUUUUGCUUGGUUCUGACGGUUGAGUGUUGCCCUUGUACUCAUUCACCUUUGAAAUUUACUGGCGGACUGCUUCGUGUUCCUUUUAGCGUUAUAGGAUAACUCUUUCGCUUGGACUCGGUGGCUCGUCCUGCCCCAAAACCCCCAACUAUUUUGA